UCGGACGUGGUGUAUGGUGCACACCCGCCCUCGAUGGCCCGUUCAAUCAGAAUUUUCAGCGUGGAGUCUGGGUUCGAUUCCCGGCGUCCGGG